rnacentral:pre_miRNA from 1 species
UCGGAAAAGCCACGACACAUUUUUGCAUAGAAAAAAUAUGUCAUGACUUUUCCGAUGA